rnacentral:rRNA from 1 species
CUCGCAGGCGGUUUCUUAAGUCUGAUGUGAAAGCCCCCGGCUCAACCGGGGAGGGUCAUUGGAAACUGGGAAACUUGAGUGCAGAAGAGGAGAGUGGAAUUCCACGUGUAGCGGUGAAAUGCGUAGAGAUGUGGAGGAACACCAGUGGCGAAGGCGACUCUCUGGUCUGUAACUGACGCUGAGGAGCGAAAGCGUGGGGAGCGAACA